CUAACACAUGCAAGCCGAGCGGUAGAGUCUCUUCGGAGACUUGAGAGCGGCGUACGGGUGCGGAACACGUGUGCAACCUGCCUUUAUCAGGGGGAUAGCCUUUCGAAAGGAAGAUUAAUACCCCAUAAUAUAUUUUGAGGCAUCUUAAGAUAUUGAAAACUCCGGUGGAUAAAGAUGGGCACGCGCAAGAUUAGAUAGUUGGUGGGGUAACGGCCUACCAAGUCAAUGAUCUUUAGGGGGCCUGAGAGGGUGAUCCCCCACACUGGUACUGAGACACGGACCAGACUCCUACGGGAGGCAGCAGUGAGGAAUAUUGGACAAUGGGUGCGAGCCUGAUCCAGCCAUCCCGCGUGAAGGACGACGGCCCUAUGGGUUGUAAACUUCUUUUGUACAGGGAUAAACCUUUCCACGUGUGGAAAGCUGAAGGUACUGUACGAAUAAGCACCGGCUAACUCCGUGCCAGCAGCCGCGGUAAUACGGAGGGUGCAAGCGUUAUCCGGAUUUAUUGGGUUUAAAGGGUCCGUAGGCGGAUCAGUAAGUCAGUGGUGAAAUCUCAUAGCUCAACUAUGAAACUGCCAUUGAUACUGCUGGUCUUGAGUAAGGUAGAAGUAGCUGGAAUAAGUAGUGUAGCGGUGAAAUGCAUAGAUAUUACUUAGAACACCAAUUGCGAAGGCAGGUUACUAUGUCUUAACUGACGCUGAUGGACGAAAGCGUGGGGAGCGAACAGGAUUAGAUACCCUGGUAGUCCACGCCGUAAACGAUGCUAACUCGUUUUUGGGUUUUCGGAUUCAGAGACUAAGCGAAAGUGAUAAGUUAGCCACCUGGGGAGUACGAACGCAAGUUUGAAACUCAAAGGAAUUGACGGGGGCCCGCACAAGCGGUGGAUUAUGUGGUUUAAUUCGAUGAUACGCGAGGAACCUUACCAAGGCUUAAAUGGGAAUUGAUCGGUUUAGAAAUAGACCUUCCUUCGGGCAAUUUUCAAGGUGCUGCAUGGUUGUCGUCAGCUCGUGCCGUGAGGUGUUAGGUUAAGUCCUGCAACGAGCGCAACCCCUGUCACUAGUUGCCAUCAUUAAGUUGGGGACUCUAGUGAGACUGCCUACGCAAGUAGAGAGGAAGGUGGGGAUGACGUCAAAUCAUCACGGCCCUUACGCCUUGGGCCACACACGUAAUACAAUGGCCGGUACAGAGGGCAGCUACACAGCGAUGUGAUGCAAAUCUCGAAAGCCGGUCUCAGUUCGGAUUGGAGUCUGCAACUCGACUCUAUGAAGCUGGAAUCGCUAGUAAUCGCGCAUCAGCCAUGGCGCGGUGAAUACGUUCCCGGGCCUUGUACACACCGCCCGUCAAGCCAUGGAAGUCUGGGGUACCUGAAGUCGGUGACCGUAAAAGGAGCUGCCUAGG
rnacentral:rRNA from 1 species